rnacentral:rRNA from 1 species
AUGUGGCGUCGCUGCAUUUGCUGUCAAGCCGCUGAGUUUGAUGAGAAUGAAAAUGGGCAUGCCAAGGCCAAGGCCAAGGCCUCAACAAAUAACGCAGAUGGAAUGAGAAAGGGUUUGAAAGAUUCUGCUACUGUGAAAGCCGAGCCACAAGAUUCAGCUCCCUCUAUCAAUAUUCCUGUUCUAUCUUUGGAUGAAUUAAUAGAGAAAACUGAUGAUUUUGGGGCAAAGGCUUUAAUAGGCGAAGGGUCUUAUGGGAGAGUGUACUACGCUGUCCUUGAUAAUGGGACAAAAAUGGCAGUGAAGAAACUUGAUUCUACUGAAAAUGAGCCCAUAUCAGAAUUCUCGACUCAGGUUUCCUUGGUUUCGAGAUUGAAACAUGAGAACUUCGUAGAUAUAUUGGGAUACUGUAUGGAGCGUAACCUUCGCAUAGUAGCCUAUGAGUUUGCCACCAUGGGGUCUCUGCAUGAUGUUCUACAUGGAAGAAAAGGAGUACAAGGUGCACAACCUGGUCCACCACUUAAUUGGAUGCAGCGAAUGAAAAUUGCUGUUGAUGCUGCCAAAGGACUUGAAUAUCUGCACGAGAAGGUCCAGCCUUCUAUUGUACACAGAGAUGUUAGAUCCAGUAACAUCCUCUUAUUUGAGGACUUCAAGGCCAAGAUUGCAGACUUCAAUCUUUCAAAUCAGGCUCCAGAUAUGGCUGCUCGUUUGCAUUCUACUCGUGUGUUGGGAACCUUCGGUUAUCACGCCCCAGAGUAUGCAAUGACUGGUCAGCUGACCCAGAAAAGUGAUGUGUAUAGUUUUGGGGUUGUUCUCUUGGAACUUCUGACAGGAAGAAAGCCUGUGGACCAUACAGCGCCUCGAGGGCAGCAGAGCCUGGUUACAUGGGCUACACCAAGAUUGACCGAAGACAAGGUGAAGGGUUGCAUAGAUCCCCGGUUGGAGGGUGAAUAUCCGCCAAAGGGACUUGCAAAGCUCGGGGCGGUAGCAGCUCUGUGUGUGCAAUAUGAAGCUGAGUUCCGUCCAAGCAUGAGCAUUGUGGUGAAGGCUUUAUCUCCCCUUACCUUGAGCAGGCAGACUCCACCUGCACCAGCAGCAGCUCUGGACAGUUGA